CGGCAUUGCGGCAGCCUAACACAUGCAGUCGAGCGGUAACAGAUCCAGCUUGCUGGAUGCUGACGAGCGGCGGACGGGUGAGUAAUGCAUAGGAAUCUACCCGGUAGUGGGGGAUAACCUGGGGAAACCCAGGCUAAUACCGCAUACGUCCUACGGGAGAAAGGGGGCUUUGGCUCCCGCUAUCGGAUGAGCCUAUGCCGGAUUAGCUGGUUGGUGAGGUAACGGCUCACCAAGGCGACGAUCCGUAGCUGGUCUGAGAGGAUGAUCAGCCACAUCGGGACUGAGACACGGCCCGAACUCCUACGGGAGGCAGCAGUGGGGAAUAUUGGACAAUGGGGGCAACCCUGAUCCAGCCAUGCCGCGUGUGUGAAGAAGGCCCUCGGGUUGUAAAGCACUUUCAGCGAGGAAGAACGCCUGGUGGUUAAUACCCGCCAGGAAAGACAUCACUCGCAGAAGAAGCACCGGCUAACUCCGUGCCAGCAGCCGCGGUAAUACGGAGGGUGCAAGCGUUAAUCGGAAUUACUGGGCGUAAAGCGCGCGUAGGUGGCUUGAUAAGCCGGUUGUGAAAGCCCCGGGCUCAACCUGGGAACGGCAUCCGGAACUAUCAGGCUAGAGUGCAGGAGAGGAAGGUAGAAUUCCCGGUGUAGCGGUGAAAUGCGUAGAGAUCGGGAGGAAUACCAGUGGCGAAGGCGGCCUUCUGGACUGACACUGACACUGAGGUGCGAAAGCGUGGGUAGCAAACAGGAUUAGAUACCCUGGUAGUCCACGCCGUAAACGAUGUCGACCAGCCGUUGGGUGCCUAGCGCACUUUGUGGCGAAGUUAACGCGAUAAGUCGACCCGCCUGGGGAGUACGGCCGCAAGGUUAAAACUCAAAUGAAUUGACGGGGGCCCGCACAAGCGGUGGGAGCAUGUGGUUUAAUUCGAUGCAACGCGAAGAACCUUUACCUACCUUUGACAUCCUGCGAACUUGGUAGAGAUACCUUGGGUGCCUUCCGGAAGCGCAAAGACAGGUGCUGCAUGGCUUGUCGUCAGCUCGUGUUUGUGAAAUUGUUGGGUAAGUCCAUUACCAACGCCAACCCUUUGUCCUAUUUGGCCAGCCGGGUAAUGCCCGGGAACUCCUAAGGAGACUGCCGUUGACAAACCGAUGAAGGUGGGGGACGACGUCAAGUCAUCAUGCCCUUUACGGUUAGGGCUACCACAUGCUACCAAUGGCCGGUUACAGGCGCAGACCUCGGAGAUCAUCGGGAAUCCUUAAGUCCGGUCUAGCCCGGGAAGUACGGAGAUC
rnacentral:rRNA from 1 species